rnacentral:rRNA from 1 species
CUCUAAGGUGACUGCCGGUGACAAACCGGAGGAAGGUGGGGAUGACGUCAAAUCAUCAUGCCCCUUAUGACCUGGGCUACACACGUGCUACAAUGGAUGGUACAAAGGGCUGCAAGACCGCGAGGUUUAGCCAAUCCCAUAAAACCAUUCUCAGUUCGGAUUGUAGGCUGCAACUCGCCUACAUGAAGCCGGAAUCGCUAGUAAUCGCGGAUCAGCAUGCCGCGGUGAAUACGUUCCCGGGCCUUGUACACACCGCCCGUCACACCACGAGAGUUUGUAACACCCGAAGUCGGUGGGGUAACCUUUUGGAGCCAGCCGCCUAAGGUGGGACAGAUGAUUGGGGUGAAGUCGUAACAAGGUAACCGUAGGGGAACCUGCGGUUGGAUCACCUCCUUA